rnacentral:tRNA from 1 species
GGAUAGGUGACCGAGUGGUUUAAGGAGCCGGUCUUGAAAACCGGUGAGGCGCAAGUCUCCGAGGGUUCGAAUCCCUCCCUAUCCGCCA